rnacentral:rRNA from 1 species
UACGUAGGUCCCGAGCGUUGUCCGGAUUUAUUGGGCGUAAAGCGAGCGCAGGUGGUUUAUUAAGUCUGGUGUAAAAGGCAGUGGCUCAACCAUUGUAUGCAUUGGAAACUGGUAGACUUGAGUGCAGGAGAGGAGAGUGGAAUUCCAUGUGUAGCGGUGAGAUGCGUAGAUAUAUGGAGGAACACCGGUGGCGAAGGCGGCCACCUGGACGACAACUGACGCUGAGGUGCGAAAGCGUGGGUAGCAAACAGG